GGAGAGAUGGCCGAGCGGCUGAAGGCGCUCCCCUGCUAAGGGAGUAUAGGCUUUAAAACCUAUCGAGGGUUCGAAUCCCUCUCUCUCCG
rnacentral:tRNA from 1 species